UAUUAUGGUUAUUUGACUUUGGCAUUGUUUUUGACUUUCCUGUUUUCUGGCAUCCCUGACUCCUGGCUUUUCCUUAUCGUUGUGUCUCUUUCUGUAUGCCUUGACCUCGGCUAUUCCUGACAAUUCUUUGGUACGUUAGUCCAGCCAUUCUAAGGUCCGGUAUACGUUACCUAUCAGUCUUCUGUGUUACACAAUUCUACGUGCUGGAUCAUACUGUAAUCCUGACAGCUAGUAUUCCAGUUCUUGGGUAAGAC